UAAUUGCUAGGUGAUAUGAUGCAAUACUAGAUUCAAAGGCCUAGACUACUUCAUCCUAAUGCAAGUGUCAAACCAUGCUCCCGCUCUCCCUCUGCCCUUCUUUACGCACACCUGUCACCAUCAUUACGCGCAGCAGCGCUCAUUGGACUCACCUGGACUCCUUCCCUUUGUUGAUUGCCCCGCCUAUAACUGUCAGCUCCCCCUUUUGUUCUCUGUGUCAUCAUUGGCGUCGUUAUUUUUCCCCCUGUCCAGACGCUGUUCCUGUUCUGUUUCAUGUCUGUUUUUCAUUAGCUGUUCUCCCUGUACCUGCUUCUCGUCUACCAGCAUCGAUCCUUACAGUUAUAUCAGCUGUUUUGGUGAACCACUCCCGCAUCUGAACUGCCUGACACAGAGGGCACAGCAUGAUCAUAGGUAUGUUUUUAUGUGAGAGAGGAAGCCAGUCCUGUCAUUGCCACCUCACCCACCUUCAACCCUUUCACAAGUACCAUCACACCUGUGUGAUCAUUCUACAGUGGUCCCUGAAGCGGUAUGAUUAAAUCCGUGUGAUUAGAACGCUUAUUUAAAAAUGCCAGUUUUGAAUUACGCAACAAUCAGCAUUUGACUGCGCCACACCUUUUUCCAGAAACUAUUUACACAAACACAGUUCUUUCAAAGUUAUGUCCAGAAUGUGAGCUGUUUAUUUUUGGAUGCUGUUCAGAUAUUCACAGAAGUAUCUAUAGCAUAACACAAUCGUCCAAACCUGGAAAAAUGUAGGCUACAUGCGCUAACUGAGGAAAGAUUGACGCAACACAAGCGGUCAUAUUUGUGUAACUCUCCUCUGACAAACUACAAUAUGAAUUAGCUAAUAGCAAUUACUAUUUAUAAUUAAUCACAUCAUGGUUGAGCUCUCCAUUGAUCGGAAUAAUUGAGUAAAACAAUUUCUAAAAAUCGCGUGCAGCCAUGCUUUUUUUCCUCACAGAAACCAAAGAUAAGAGAAGACAAGAGUUUGGUCUGUUUACCAUCGUUCACAUCCCACCAUUCACUUCCUGAAGUUCUCAAAAAAGGAGUGAACCCUUACUCACCUCACCUCAAUUUGUUAUAGCAUCUUUGGUCCUACAGACAAUUACGUGAAACCCAGAAUGCAUUGUAUGUCAACAAAAAUGUGUCCACACACACAUAGCUGGAAUUAGCUAAUAAUUACCACACAAAACAUUUUUUGAUAGUGAUUUAUUGAUUCAAAUGGCAUGUGCCGGCAGUCAAUCAUGUAACCUCUCACUCCCACUCUGAGCCAUUCAGUGUUGUUUAUGUAUGCAGCUAGUGAGCUAAGCUGUAGCAUUAGCAAUGUCUUUCAAAAAGGAGACAACUCACAAACACGGAAAUUCUGGAUAUUUUUUAAAAUUCUGACAAUGCGUCUGUAUGAAAGUUUGGAAUCAGAUUCUGACAGUGAGGAGCUGCCCCCCAGCCAUUGAGAACCCUGAAUCUGAGGACCCCUUGUCCACUGACAACGUCCUAGUUCCCUUUGAAGAUGCUGGUGGUGAUGGAGGCAGACUGAAAAUGGAUGAAGUACAGGAGUUCUAUUGUAGCUGGAAGGCUGCCAGCCAUUUCACCCCUCCUGGCCCUGCUGUUUGCUUUGAUGAGUCCCAGUCUGAAGUGCAACACCCCUUGCCAUUUCCAUCUGAGGCAGAGUGAUUCAAGUUGUUUCUGACAGAGGAUCUGGUGGGAGACAUAGUAGAGACCAAUCACUAUGCCUUGGAGAGCCAGGAGUGGGGGGGGCAACCACAAUUAGUGAAAUGUAUACCUUCCUGGUGACAGUCCUCAUGGGGAUAGUAAAGAAGAACUCCCUAAGAGAAUAAUGGAGCACAGAUCCUGUGUUUGCAACUCCCUUCUUUGCCACCCUCUUUUCCCAAGUCCGCUUCCUAGUUCUGCUGCGAUGAGUGCAUUUCAUCAGCAAUGCUACUGCCAUCCUAAAUGACCCGUUAUACAAAAUAAGAAAUGUCAACAGUUGUCAGUAAAGUGGCAUGACAAACGAGACAUCCAUGUCCUCUCCACUGUCCAUACAGCAACCUUGUCGGCCACAGGGAAGGUGGACCACCUCAGGGGAGAGAGACAAACCAGACUGUGUGCUUGACUAUAACCUCAAAAUGGGGGCAGUGGAUAAGGUGGACAUGAUAAACAGCUUUGUGGAAUGCACUCAGAAAAUGACCACGUGGUACAAGGAGAUAUUUUUCCAGGAUAGCUUCAAAUUACAAUAAGCCAAUACUUCUGACGCAAUUAGCAUUGUUUUACAGAGCUAAUAGAAGAAUGUAGCUAGCUACAUAAGCACGAUUGAAUAUAACACCAUAAAGGUUAUGAAAUGAGUAACGUUACCUCGCGUGUCCGCGGAUAUAAGGAAUAUACACACAUAUAUUAUGCUCCAUACACAGUGAGCUACAGUAGAAACGGUAUAAAACCAUAUAUAGAAACUAUUAUAAUGUAAUAAGGCACUUACUUUGAUAGAAACACAUUCUGGUUUUGAGCCUGGGUGUCUGUAGGGACGCCUCCAGCGCUGAGAUGCUGUGCCUUAGACAGCUGCGCCACUUGGGAGUCAUAAGGCCAGGGUAGCUUCAAAAUACAACACAUGCUAAUACUUCUCUAAUGCAAUUAGCAUUGUUUUCCAGAGGUAAUAGAAGAAUGUAGCUAGCUACCUAAGCAUUGAGUAUAACACCAUAAAAUGAGUAACGUUACCUCGUUUGUCCACGGUUAUAAGGAAUAUACACAAAAAUAUGAUGCUACAGUAGAAACGGCGUAACACGACAUGCAGAAACUAUUAUAACAUAAUAAGGCACUUACUUCGAUAGAAACGCACACAUUUCCAAAGUUAUUAUUGGUAACGAAAUCAACUAUGACUGCGAUGCAGGCAACAGACGGACAAUGUGAACACGUGUGCGGGAUGGGAGAUGAGCAAAUAUCUGCAGAAUUGAACUGCACAAACAAUUGGGAAGUGUUUGGGGAAUUUUGUCCAGGUCAGAAUUAUCCCAAAAAUGAUUUGGUCCAAAAAAGUUUUAAAAAAUUACAACUUUUAUGUGAAUGAAUGGGGCGGAACACACCUCAAUUCAUACUGCUCUUAGAAAAUAAAAAACUUGUUCGAAAAUAAUUUGAAAUUGACAAAUUGAAAACAGCCUAUAAAUAAAAACAGGCUGCGUGCCUUGGUUUGAGGGCAACGACGGAUUAAAUGUACUCUUGCGUAACAAUCACAUUCUGGAACGGAGAGAACGUGCAUAAAAAAAACUCACACUGGGGCGUCCGUUAGAGAUAUUCACGCAUGAAAGCGUUAAGAUAACCUUCAGAACAACUGGGGACCCAAGGCUGGUUAGGAGACACCGCAAUUGUGAUGAACUGAGAGAAUAUUAGAGUAGUACUGUAAUUCAUGAAUCACAUACUGUCUGCCACUGUUCUUAACUUAAAUGCAUGUAUGUAUUUAUAACACCUAGAUAAUGAACUUCUUUCAACAAAGCGUUUCACAUUCUCCACUGGUUGAAAUUAAGUGUCUCAUUGAAAUACUAUCCUGUGUCCUCAGAUUAAUGCAGAUGAAGGGAGUUAGAUAUGCAUAUUUUUUUUUCUGUAUAUAUGAAUUACAAAUCAAUCAUGUUUCUAGUCUAUUGCAUAGUUACAAUGUGUAAUCAUUGAUGUCCCAGGAGCAGGAGCGGUAAACACUGUUGAAGUGUAUAACUGUAAUACAUACAUGCAGACACAGCAUCAUUCAGAUAAUGGAGUUUAAUAUGACUGAAAAAUAACGUCUCAGAGAUUCAUACCUGAACCGCCAAGGAGAGUACAUCAGUGAAUAGAUUCAAUGAACAGGCUACAAUGUGGGAAUCUCAUGUGUGGUAAUAACUACAGUACAUGUGUAUAUAGGACUUGCGU